rnacentral:rRNA from 1 species
GACGAACGCUGGCGGCGUGCCUAACACAUGCAAGUAGAACGCAGUUGCGCACGGGUGAGUAUCGCGUAGGUAACUUCCUUAUAGCGGGGGAUAACUAUUGGAAAAGAUAGCUAAUACCGCAUAAUGUGAGAUGGACCUGCGUUGUAUUUGCUAGUUGGUGGGGUAAAGUCUCUCCAAGGCGACGAUACAUAGCAGACCUGUGAGGGAGUACGGGCACAAUGGGACUGAGAACCGGGUCAAACUCCUACAGGGGACGAGUGUAGGGAAACUUCGGCAAUGGGCGGAAGUCUGACCGGUCAACACCCCGGGAGUGAGGAAGAUUUUCGGAUCGUAAAGCGCUGUUGUGGGGGAAGCGGUAACUAGCCAAAGAGGGACGGCUAACUACGUGCCAGCAGGCGCGGUAAUAC